AAGUGACUUUUUAGUCCAUACAAAGUAUAAGUACGGAGAUCAGUGGUAGAAGCAGGCCCACUGACAACUGUAAGAAGUAACAGUUGUUACAGUAACAGAAAGCUAUAAAAGACAAAUAUAAACGCAGAAGAAACAAUAAUAAUAAUAGGGUAGCAAAAACACCUUCGUAACUAUUGAGGCCAUUAUUCUAAAGACAACAGUAACCCUAGGUCAUCAAGAAAAGGGUGAAAUUUGGUUUAGUGUUCUUGGCCUAAGGAAGAGGAUUGUGCCAUAUAGCAUCCCUAUACAUUGGCCUAAGGAAGAAGGUUGUGUCGUUGGCAUACCUAUGCUUUCUGAUGCAGCACCUGGGAAACUGAGAAUUGUUCAUGGAGAUGUCUUGACAUUUAAGGUAGAAAAGGCUUUUUCAGAAAGUCUUAAAAGACCCUGGGAAGAUGAUCCUCCAAAUGUACAUAUUAUUGGAAAUCUGCCUUUUAGUGUUUCAACUCCACUGAUUAUCAAGUGGCUUGAAAAUAUUUCCUGUAGAGAUGGACCUUUUGUUUAUGGCAGAACUCAGAUGACUUUGACUUUUCAAAAGGAAG
rnacentral:lncRNA from 10 species